GGGAUAAAGGCGUAGUUGAGUUGAAUGUUAUUUUACAGAGGCGACGCCUUCCUCGCCGUACGCCUCACGCCUCUCACUUUUGGGUCUUUUGGGCUCACCUUUUGCAAGCUGACUCACCUCAGCCAGGCGAGGCGCCUUUUCACGCCUUUAACAACACUGAUUAUUACAAUAGUGAGAACUAAAUGCCCUAGGAUUUAUGAGAGGAAAAGG
rnacentral:misc_RNA from 1 species